rnacentral:rRNA from 1 species
UACGUAGGGUGCAAGCGUUGUCCGGAAUUAUUGGGCGUAAAGAGCUCGUAGGCGGUCUGUCGCGUCGGCUGUGAAAACUCGGGGCUCAACUCCGAGCUUGCAGUCGAUACGGGCAGGCUAGAGUUCGGCAGGGGAGACUGGAAUUCCUGGUGUAGCGGUGAAAUGCGCAGAUAUCAGGAGGAACACCGGUGGCGAAGGCGGGUCGCUGGGCCGAUACUGACGCUGAGGAGCGAAAGCGUGGGGAGCAAACAGG